rnacentral:rRNA from 1 species
CGUAGGGGGCAAGCGUUGUCCGGAAUCAUUGGGCGUAAAGCGCGUGUAGGCGGCUUGGUAAGUCCGCUCUGAAAGCCCGGGGCUCAACCCCGGGAGGCGGGUGGAUACUGUCAAGCUCGAGUCCGGAAGAGGCGAGUGGAAUUCCUGGUGUAGCGGUGAAAUGCGCAGAUAUCAGGAGGAACACCAAUGGCGAAGGCAGCUCGCUGGGACGUGACUGACGCUGAGACGCGAAAGCGUGGGGAGCAAACAGGAUUAGAUACCCUGGUAGUCCACGCCGUAAACGAUGGGCACUAGGUGUGGGAGGUGUCGACUCCUUCCGUGCCGAAGCUAACGCAUUAAGUGCCCCGCCUGGGGAGUACGGCCGCAAGGCUA